AUACAUUUUGCCAGCAUCCACCAAAAUCAAAAUCAUUUGGAUUGUUAUCCAUCACAAGGGCCCUAGCAUGAAGGCUGGGUCCAGGGAAUGGACAUAUACAUACUGGAUAUUCAAAAACAAUGGGAUGUGUGUACAUUAUGUCAUCAGCCACAGAAGAGCUGAGGACUGUUGUAUUAUCAGUCCAGCCUGUCACACCAUGCCAGCAGUUUGAAUUUAAAACAAGUGGACUGGUCUCAGGAGCUGUUUGUGAGCACUGCGUCACUGGAACAGGGAUAUCUCCACAGGUGUCGGCACAAGAAAACUUGUGAACUCACUGGAUGUAAGAUUCUGGCUAUUGCAGUGUAUCUGUACACAUUGGUGACAUUUUUAACUUGCACAGUCAAUGAAAAUAGCCAAUGUAUAUUUGGUAUUGGGCUCAUAGUCAGGUUGGGUUGCUACACAGGAAGCACUGGUGAAGUGACAGUCUGCUUCAACAAAAUUUAUUUUGAUUGCAACACAUUUGGGUCUACAGUCUAAUAGUGA